rnacentral:ncRNA from 1 species
CAAUAGUAAGGCGUCCUAGCUGAGCGAUUACUUACUAUUUGCCAAUUUUUUUUUAAGUGUAUUUUAAUUAAGUUUGAUUCUUGCUUUUAUGUUAAUUUUUUAAAUUAAUUAUAUGCUUAGUUCUUAAUUAUUAAAUUAGCAGUAAAUUGUUUUAUUGUAAUUUUUAUUAUUACUUAGAUAUUUAAUAAUAAAUUGGAUAAAUUUUGUGCCAGCAUUCGCGGUUAUACAAUUCAUUUAAAUUAACAAUUUUGGUUAAUGUAUUUAUUCUAAAUAUUGAUUAUAUUAUUUUUUUAUUUAGGUGGAAUUUAUAUUUAAUUUAAUUUUCUAAAUUUUUAUUUUACUAAGUCUAAUUUAUAAACUAGGAUUAGAUACCCUAUUAUUUUAGAUCUAAAUUUUAAUGCCUGAAUAUUAAUAGCUAUGUUCUAUAAAACUCAAAGAAUUUGGCGGUAAUCUACCCUUACAGAGGAACCUGUACUUUAAUUGAUAAACCACGAUAAUUUUCACCUUCAAAUUUUAUUUGUAUACCGCUAUACAUUAGAGUAUUUUAAGAAGAAAUUUUCUUUAUAUUUGAUAAAUUCAUAUUAGGUCAAGGUGCAGUUUUUUUAGGGUUAGUAUGGGUUACAUUAUUUUUAUUUAUUAUUGAAUUAAAUUUAUUUAUUUAAAUUAUCAUGAAAUAGGAUUUGUGAGUAAUUUAAAUUAAUUAAUUUUUUUGAAUUUGGCUCUUGAUUAUGUACAUAUCGCCCGUCACUCCCAAUAAUAUGGGAUAAGUCGUAACAAAGUAGUUGUACCGGAAGGUGUAUCUAGAAUGUA